rnacentral:tRNA from 1 species
GAGGGGGUUACAAGACCUGCUAACUCUUUAAUCUGGCACUAAUAAUCCAGCCCCCUCUACC